GUCGGUAUCGAUUAGGGGUGAAAUCAUCUCGUUGUGGAAGGGACGAAUCGCAGGAUUCGAACCAGUAACUCCCGAGAAGCCGCAGGUUCGAAUCCUGCUACUGACA
rnacentral:tRNA from 2 species